UACGAAGGGGGGCGAGCGUUUGUUCGGAUUUACUGGGCGUAAAGGGCGCGUAGGCGCCUUGUUUGUCAGGCGUGAAAGCCCUGGGCUCAACCUGGGAGGUGCGCUUGGGACGGCGAGGCUUGAGAUCGGGAGAGGAGAGUGGAAUCCCAGUGUAGAGGUGAAAUUCGUAGAUAUUGGGAAGAACACCGGUGGCGAAGGCGGCUCUCUGGACCGACACUGACGCUGAGGCGCGAAAGCGUGGGGAGCAAACAGG
rnacentral:rRNA from 1 species